GACGCAGUUAUGAUCUCUACUGUCUUAUGAAACGAGAGAAAUGUGCUGAAUGUAGCGGAGAAAAAGUAAAACUGAAGUAUCGAUACUACGGAUAUUUGGAUCGAUCCGCCCAUCACUACUAAUAAGCUUGCACCACCCUCGCAGUGGCUAAGAAGACCUGAGACUAUCACAUAGGGCAUCUUGUUAACCUGGCAGUGGAAUAUCAUAAAGAGGCAUACUGUGCACGGGGAGCCACAAUGCACACUAUGCACUCCACAAAUCAUCCAUCACUAGUACAGGCCCCUCGACCACUGGUGCAGAGACCACAACUGCACCACAAUUGUCAGCACUGAUUCUUACCUAGAUGGCCGGUUAGAGAGAAUGGCUGGACGUGGAGG